rnacentral:rRNA from 1 species
GUCUACAGCCCUGCCACCCUGACUGAACAAGUCCAAACCUGUCUGAUCUCCAGAAGCUAAGCACGGUUGGGUUAGUGCUUGGCUGGGAGACCACCUAGGAAGACCAGGUGCUGUAGGUA